GCCGCUACUGGGAAGGGUGACCGUGGGCGGCGGCGGGGAGCUGCUGGGGGAAGCGGGGAGACCGCGGCCAUCCGGGCCCGGGGAGGAGCAAGCCUGGCAGCCCGAGCCUGCUGAAGCCCGCGUUCGGCCUGCCUGCUCCGAGCCUCAGAAGCCCCUCCCAGGCUGCAGGACGCGCUGGGCCCGCGAAAGGCACCGGUCUUCCUAGGCCAACAGGCAUUCCGGCCCUCCGGCUAACUGCGGGAGGACAGGCGCGGUCUCGGGGCGGUUCUCCGCGGCAGCCUCCUCGGCGACAGCGAGUCCGAAUUCCAAGCGGGUAAGAAUAGUUCCCAACCCAAUACCUCUAGCCAGAAGUUGCCCCCGCUCCAAUGUGAUGCAGCAGAAAGAACACUGGAGUCAAAAACCCUGGUUGCUGCCUACACUGAUCCUCACUGGUGCUGCUGCUCCUGAGACUUAUGUCUUCUAUCUGGACCUCAGCUUUGAGUUGCCCACUCACAGCCACCACUA